GACGCCCUGGGAGCACCCCGAGCUGGGGGGGUCAGUCUGCGGUGCCCUGGGAGCACCCUGAGCUGGGGGGAGCCGGUCCAGGGCGCCCUGGGAGCACCCGAGCUGGGGGGAGCAGGUCCAGGGCGCCCUGGGAGCACCCGAGCUGGGGGGUCCGGCCCACGGCAGGACCCAGCACCCCGCCCCGCGCUGGCCCGUCCCCGCCGCGCACCCCUCCGGCCCGGAGGCUCCCCACGCCCCCUCGUGGUCUCCGCGCGCCGCCGCGUCUGUGGCCGCAGGGCCGGUACCUCGGCACACCCGGGGCUGCGGACACGAGUGCGCCUGCCCCGAGGCCCCGCGAGCCCCCUCCCCGAGGCCGGUCUGGGCCCCGACCUCCCCCCGACCUCCCCACGACCCCCCGGAACCCCGGCUGGACGGCGCCCGCGGGCCCGGGGGUGGGGGCGCUGCGAGCCGGGACGGGGCUCCGAGGGCGCCCGGGGGACGGGGCCGCGCCCGCUCCGACCGGGACAGGGCUGGGGAGGCACUGCCCCCCGGUGGCCACCGCCCGCACGGCAGCUGCGUCCGUCGGGGGCACCGCGGGGUCUCCGGGUGGGUCUCCGGUCGGUCUCCGCGUCUCCCCGGGGCGCGGUCUGUCCUGAGCGGGCCUGUGCGUCCCCCAGCCCCGACCCAACUCCCUGCGGCUGGAACCGCAGGGCCACGGUGACGGCACAAAGCGGCGCUUUUCUGGAUCCACCCCGCCUGCGCAAUAGUGGGUACUCCGGGCGGCAAGUUCCCCAGUUAGCGCGCCAGUUAGUGCACCAGUUAGUGCACCAGUUAGCGCACCAGCGCACCAGUUAGUGCACCAGUUAGUGCACCAGCGCACCAGUUAGCGCACCAGUUAGUGCACCAGUUAGUGCACCAGUUAGCACACCAGUUAGUGCACCAGCGCACCAGUUAGUGCACCAGUUAGUGCACCAGCGCACCAGUUAGCGCACCAGUUAGUGCACCAGUUAGUGCACCAGCGCACCAGUUAGUGCACCAGUUAGCGCGCCAGGCACCAGUUAGCGGGCCAGUUAGCACACCGGGUGGUGAGCGCACCAGUUAGCGCACCAGUUAGCGCAUCAAAUCAAGGGGCGUCCAGGCCUCCUGGUGACGAGGGCGGGGACGGAGACAUUCGGUGACCCCUUCCCUGACAGCGCACACCCCCCCUCUUCCCAGCACUCAGCCCCACGCCUUCACAUGGCCCCUGGUGAGGCCCUCGGGACAAAGCUCGGCGGCUCCAGGCCCCCUGAGCUCAUGGCUGCUUUCGAUGGCCCUCGCCCUGAGUGACCCCCCACGGCCCUCGCCCUUAGUGACCCCCCACGGCCCUCGCCCUGAGUGACCCCCCCCACGGCCCUCGCCCUGAGUGACCUCCCCACGGCCCUCUCCCUGAGUGACCCCCCCCACGGCCCUCUCCCUGAGUGACCCCCCACGGCCCUCGCCCUGAGUGACCCCCCCACGGCCCUCGCCCUGAGUGACCCCCCCAUGGCCCUCUCCCUGAGUGACCCCCCCACAGCCCUCGCCCUGAGUGACCCCCCCACGGCCCUCGCCCUGAGUGACCCCCCCACGGCCCUCGCCCUGAGUGACCCCCCACGGCCUUCGCCCUGAGUGACCUCCCCACGGCCCUCGCCCUGAGUGACCCCCCACGGCCCUCGCCCUGAGUGACCCCCCACGGCCCUCGCCCUGAGUGACCCCCCCACGGCCCUCUCCCUGAGUGACCCCCCCCACGGCCCUCGCCCUGAGUGAUCCCCCACGGCCCUCGCCCUGAGUGACCUCCCCACGGCCCUCGCCCUGAGUGACCCCCCACGGCCCUCGCCCUGAGUGACCCCCCCAAGGACUUUCAUGCAAAUCCUCCCUCCAUAUUAUUCCACUGCCCCCUCCCCACAGUCCCCAAACUAGAAUCUCAAAGCUAAAAUCCCUGCUAUAUUGACAAGUUGCCUUGUUUUGAACAUUCUAGACCCACAGUCCCCUCAGGUACUAAUUUUGACCCAGCAGGUGUGGAUGGCUUGUGACGGGACAAAGCAGGAAGGAGGACGCGGAGUCCAGCCGACUGGGCCCUGGCGGUCCCUUCGUGCCCGGCGGCCACCUGCUGCAAACAGUGAGCGGUGAGCACAGAACCUGAGGCAGCAGGACUGGCGGUGCUGGGGGGACACGGGAUGGGCCCCCAGGGACACGGUGAUGGGAGACGGCGGGGUGGAGGACAGCACGGAGGACAUCACUGUGUGGUCUCAGCGUGGCCCCCUCCGGCUCGGAGCCCUGGGGUAUGUGGGGGGCCCAGGACUCGGGGCGACGGGAGGGGUCAUGAAGCCAGGGCGCUGGCCCCGAGGACAGGUGCGACCCCCGGCCUCACCCACCCCCACACCUGGCAAGAGACGUGAAGGGAUCUGCUCCCAAACAGGAGCAGGGUCCCCGUGGACUCCCAGAGUCGUUGGGGUGCAGGGGGACACCAGGGAGCCCUGGGGCGCCGGCCACAGUGGGGCUCCUCUGGGUCCCUGCGCCCCCGGAGCAGAACUAGUUUCUUCAUCAGGGAGACUCCCAACAGCGGAGAAGUCUGGUGCUCGCGGUUGAACGUGGAUCCCCGCACUCCCUGUGGGUCCCCAGGCCACGGCAAGCGAUGAGGCAGCAAGUGAAGGGGCCCCGCAAGCCGCUGCGCCUCCAAACAGCUCUGGAGACGUGUCCAGAGACUCAGGGGGGAUGAAAAUGCAAACAGCUUUAGCCAAGCUUGCACAGAUGCCUCGUCACUGCACGUUCCUAGAAAACGGAUGCCUCCGCUCAAACCUUAAGUUUCUAGAAGGAUUGAGGCUUCCUGAAGCCUGGGGGGGUGGGGUGGGACUGCGGCCAAGGCGCCAGGACCUGGGACCCUCUGGAGGCAUGAGCAUGGGAGCUGGAUCCAGCCAUUCCUGAGGCCCACUGGGUCCACCCUGCCUGUCUGGUUCUGUGAUCUGAGAAAUCCCACUCUUGUGAUCCAGGGCAAGAGGAUAGGGUUUUUCUUUACUGGUAACCAAGUGGGUCCUCUUACAAGGGCUUGUGAAGACCUCCCGAAGAGAGUGGACAUGGGCUACCAAGUGGGUGACACCGCGGGCAACAGCCACGGGACGGGCAAUCGAUUGGGGUGGGGGUGGCCACCCAGCUCUUAAGAGAGUUGGAGAAACUGGGUGCUUGGGGUACUGAAUGCUGGGUGCUUGGGGUACUGAAUGCUGGGUGCGGGCUGCGCCAACGCACUGUGGGUCGCAAAAGGUCUGCCGCCCCAGCCC
rnacentral:lncRNA from 1 species